CAGUCGAGCGGAACAUUGGAGCUUGCGCCUGGAUUCGACGAGCGACGGAUGAGUGAUGCCUGCGUGUCUGCCUGGUAUUGGGUGAUGGAGUCCGGAAACGGACGCUGUACCUACCACGUCCUGUCUACAGAAAGUGGGGGAUCUUCGGACCUCACGCUUUCAUAUGACCCUAUGGGAGAUUAUCUAUUUGGAGGUAAAAAGGCCUACCAGGGACAAUAUCCAUAUGUGGUCUGAGAAGAUGAUCACUCACUGUGGCUGUGACACACGGCCCACACUCCUACGGGAGGCAGCAGUGGGGAAUAUUGCACAGUGGGCGAAAGCCUGAUCCACCCGUGCCGCGUGUGUGAAAAAGGUCUUCGGAUUGUAAAGCUUUUUAACUUGAGAAGAAGGGCAUAAAUUUAAUACCUUGCUGUUUUGACUUUACACACAAAAUAAGCACCGGCUAUCUUCGUGCCAACCCCCGCGGUAAUACAAAGGGUGCGAGCGUUUAUCGAAUUUAGUGCGUGUAAAGCGCGCGUACGUGUUUUUUCAAGAUAGAUGUGAAAUCCCCGGUCUCAACCUGAGAACUGCAUUCAAAACUACUGAUC
rnacentral:rRNA from 1 species